rnacentral:rRNA from 1 species
AAGUCGAACGAUGAACCACCUUCGGGUGGGGAUUAGUGGCGAACGGGUGAGUAACACGUGGGCAAUCUGCCCUUCACUCUGGGACAAGCCCUGGAAACGGGGUCUAAUACCGGAUACUGACCUGCCAAGGCAUCUUGGCGGGUCGAAAGCUCCGGCGGUGAAGGAUGAGCCCGCGGCCUAUCAGCUUGUUGGUGAGGUAAUGGCUCACCAAGGCGACGACGGGUAGCCGGCCUGAGAGGGCGACCGGCCACACUGGGACUGAGACACGGCCCAGACUCCUACGGGAGGCAGCAGUGGGGAAUAUUGCACAAUGGGCGAAAGCCUGAUGCAGCGACGCCGCGUGAGGGAUGACGGCCUUCGGGUUGUAAACCUCUUUCAGCAGGGAAGAAGCGAAAGUGACGGUACCUGCAGAAGAAGCGCCGGCUAACUACGUGCCAGCAGCCGCGGUAAUACGUAGGGCGCAAGCGUUGUCCGGAAUUAUUGGGCGUAAAGAGCUCGUAGGCGGCUUGUCACGUCGGUUGUGAAAGCCCGGGGCUUAACCCCGGGUCUGCAGUCGAUACGGGCAGGCUAGAGUUCGGUAGGGGAGAUCGGAAUUCCUGGUGUAGCGGUGAAAUGCGCAGAUAUCAGGAGGAACACCGGUGGCGAAGGCGGAUCUCUGGGCCGAUACUGACGCUGAGGAGCGAAAGCGUGGGGAGCGAACAGGAUUAGAUACCCUGGUAGUCCACGCCGUAAACGGUGGGCACUAGGUGUGGGCAACAUUCCACGUUGUCCGUGCCGCAGCUAACGCAUUAAGUGCCCCGCCUGGGGAGUACGGCCGCAAGGCUAAAACUCAAAGGGAAUUGACGGGGGCCCGCACAAGCGGCGGAGCAUGU